rnacentral:rRNA from 1 species
UACGUAGGGGGCAAGCGUUGUCCGGAUUUAUUGGGCGUAAAGAGCGUGUAGGCGGCCAGGUAGGUCUGCUGUGAAAACUCGAGGCUUAACCUCGAGCUGUCGGCGGAAACCAUCUGGCUAGAGUCCGGAAGAGGAGAAUGGAAUUCCCGGUGUAGCGGUGAAAUGCGCAGAUAUCGGGAAGAACACCCGUGGCGAAGGCGGUUCUCUGGGACGGUAUUGACGCUGAGACGCGAAAGCGUGGGGAGCGAACAGG